rnacentral:lncRNA from 10 species
AUCAUUACAUCACCCAGGUAUUAAGCUCAGUCCCCAAUAGUUAUCUUUUCUGCUCCUCUUCCUCCUCCCACCCUCCCCACUCAAGUAGACUCCAGUGUCUGUUAUUUCCUUCUUUCUGUUCGUAAGCUCUUAUCAUUUAGCUCCCACUUAUAUGUAAGAACAUGUGGUGUUUGGUUUUCUGUUCCUGCGUUAGUUUGCUGAGGAUGAUAGGCUCCAGCUCCAUCCAUGUUCCCACAAAAGCCAUGAUCUUGUUCUUUUUUAUGGCUGCAUAAUAUUCCAUGGUGUAUAUGUACCACAUUUUCUUUAUCCAGUCUGUCAUUGACAGGCAUUUAGGUUGAUUCCAUGUCUUUGCUAUCGUGAACAGUGCUGCAGUGACCAUUCACGUGUAUGUGUCUUUAUGGUAAAAUGCUUUAUAUUCGUCUGGGUAUACACCCAGUAAUGGGAUUGCUGGGUUGAUGGUAGUUCUUCUUUUAGCUCAGAAAGGCAAUAUUCAAAGACAGGAGAAUAAACUGGGGUGAGAGAGAGAAGGAGUGAAGAAAGGAGAAAAGAAGAGAGAAGAGAGAGGAAGAGAAGGUUCUAUGGAGCUCUAAGUGUUCUAUCUGGUCUGCCCGAGUUAGUAGAGGGAUAAGAAUAAAGAAAAAAAAUGUUACUAUUCCUCUACGGCCCAUCACACACAUGGGUGAAUCAAAUGGGCAAAGCAAGAGUAGAAUUUUACACCACCAUGCCGUAAACCUGGAUUGUUUUGACUGUUGAGCAUCUCCUCUCUCUUUUCUAUUCUUUUUCUUUCUCUUUCUUUCUUUCUUUCCUUCUUUCUUUCUUUCUUUCUUUCUUUCUUUCUUUCUUUCUUUCUCUCUCUCUCUCUCUCUUUCUUUCUCGCUUUCUCUUUCUUUCUCUCUUUCUUUCUCUCUCUCUCUCUCUCUCCCUCUCUCUCUUCUUUUCUUUUCUUUUGAGACGGAGUUUCACUCUUGUUGCCCAGGCUGGAGUGCAGUGGCGCAAUCUCGGCUUACUGAAACCUCCACCUCCCGGGUUCAAGCGAUUAUCCUGCCUUAGCCUCCCAAGUAGCUGGGACUACAGGUGUGUGCUACCACACCCAGCUAAUUUUGUAUUUUUAGCAGAGAUGGGGUUUCACCAUGUUGGUCAGGCUGGUCUCGAACCCCUGACCUCAGAUAAUCCACCCACCUCAGCCUUCCAAAAUGCUGGGAUUACAGACGUAAGCCACUGCACCCGGCCUCACUUUCUUUUACCCACAUCAGUCCUGAUAAUUUCCAGUCCCAGCAUCCUGCCUUCUCCCUCACUCCCGUAGAAGGACUGGGCAAGUGACCAGGCCAAUCAGAGUUCCCCAAUAUCCUGGCCAUGUGGAUUGGUCCAGCUAUGGGCACGUGACCUUAGCUAAGCCAAUCACCUAUUCAGAAUGUUUUUUGUUCUUUAAUACAGAGCUGUGAGAGACAGGGUCUUGGCUUUUGAAUAAUGGGGCUGAAAGAAGUGAGUCAGGGACUGCCAGGGGCUGUCUCCUAUACCAUGAGGAGAAAUCUCGUCUAUAGGGAGAACGAGCCAAAAGAUGGAAAGUCAUUGAGAGGGAGAGGGAGAGGGACAUUGAAGUGGGGGAGAGAAAGAGAGAGACAUAAUAUAAUGUUGAGCUUUAAAUCAGCUCUAUCUAGACUUAGAAAAGCCAAUAACUUCCCACUUUUCUUGGACUGAUUUGAGUUGGUUUUUUGCUACUUUAGCCAAGUGGUCCCCGUGAUGGCUCCCCAUUUCUUUAGAUGAAAAUCCCAAGCCCUCACGUUGGCAUGCCAGGACACACCUGCCCUAGCCUCAAUGGCCUCAUCUCCCGUCCCUCUCGCCAUUGCUUACUCCGCUGCAGCCAUUCCUGCCUCCUUGCUUGUUCGUCAAACGUGCCAGGCCCUACUUCAUACGGAUUAAAUCAGACUUUUUGAGUGGGAUCAGGACAUUAGUAUUUUAUUUGUUUUUAAUUUAAUUUUAUGUUUUGAGACAGGGUCACUCUGUUGCCCAGGCUGGAGUGCAGUGGCACGAACACGGCUCGCUGCAGCCUCGACCUCCCAGGCUCAUGCGAUCCUUCUAAUACUCACCGUUAGCUGGGACCUCAGCCAGCCAGUUAACCAAAAUGUAUGCGUGUGGCCUCCCCAGGUGUUCUCUUCACAUGGGCUAGUUGGACUUCCUCACUACAUGGUGGCUGGUGUGCAAGAGAGGUUGAUUUUGUGUUCCAAGCCUGUGAUCAUUAACUGUUUUCCAGCUCUACCAGCAUCCUGUCCAAGCCUUUAAGAUGAGGAACAAAUUCUAUGUGAGGAGAAAUGGCAAAAAUUGGUAUGCCUCUGCUUUUCUGAUUUCCCAUUCCCUUCCAUUUCUCUUAUUAACAAGUAAAAGUAAGGAAAUCCUGUCCUGUGGAUAACUUCCCAUUGACUUGCAGAGAGCUCAGACAUGCUAUGGUAGAUAUGGAUACUAUUUUGUUUUUGUUUUUUGAGAUGGAGUCUUGCUCAGUCACCCAGGCUGGAGUGCAGUGGCAUGAUCUCAGCCCACUGCAAACUCCGCCUCCCAGGUUCAAGUGAUUCUCCUGACUCAGCCUCCCGAGUAGCUGGGAUUACAAGCAGAUGCCACCACACCCAGCUAAUUUUUGUAUUUUUAGUAGAGACAAGGUUUAACCAUCUUUACUAAACAGACUAGGCCCGUCUUGAACUCCUGACUUCAAGUGAUCUGCCCGCCUCAGCCUCCCAACGUGCUGGGAUUAUAGGUGUGAGACACUGCACCUUGCCAAUGGUGAAUAUUGUUGAUUUAAAAUAAUAGAUAUAAUAAAUCUCCAAUCUCAGGGAAGUUUCCAAGUCCUAAAGUCAAAACUUCCGAUCUUGCCGUGUGCUUGAAUUAUCCUCAAUUAGAGUCCCUGCUGCUGUUGCAUGUCGCUGUAAUUAUUCUGUCAUCGUUAAUUCAAUGAAGCCUAUUAACCCACAUCAGAUAGUGUAUUUAUCUACAAUGCAUGUUACCUGCUCCUCUAGAUAAGACAGCUGUCAUACUUCAAGUCUGCUGUCUCUUUGUUGAGGUCCAGUAGUGUCAGUCUGCAAGUGUUUCAUGUUUCAUAUACAUUACAGAAUCCCCAUUAAUGGUUGAUAUGAUUAGGCUUUGUGUCCCCACCCAAAUCUCAUCUUGAAUUACAUUCCCUAUAAUCCCCACAUGUCAAGGGAGAGACCAGGUGGAGAUAAUUAAAUAAUGGGGGCAGUUUCCCCCACGCUGUUUUCAUGACAGUGAGUUCUCACGAGAUCUGAUGGUUUUAUAAGGAACGCUUCCCUCUUUGCUCGGCAUUUCUCCUUCCUGCUGCCUUGUGAAGAAGAUGCAUUGUUUUCCUCUUCACUUUCUGCCACAAUUGUAAGUUUCCUGAGGCCUCCCCAGCCAUGCUGAACUGUAAGUCAAUUAAACCUCUUUCCUUUAUAAAUUACACAGUCUCAGGCAGUUCUUUACAGCAGUAUGAAAAUGGAGUAAUACAAUGAUGUUCUUAUAACUUCCCAGACUGGAAGGCUUGCUGGUCUUGUGAGAUACUGAACUGGAGACAGCAGAAAAAUGCAUCCUCCUGAUAUUGUGAGCAACCUCCUCUCUUCUUCCCUCUCUCCUCUUCUUCCCUUUCUUCUGUUUUCCCUUCUAGGAGCCAAGAGCAUAGGCUCUGGAACCAGCCUGCCUGGUUUGAAUCAUGCCUCUGCCUGGGGAUCUUGGGCAGGUUGCUUGGUCUCUCUGAGCCUGUUUUUUUCAUCUGUGCAAGAAUCACAACUCUCUUGUGAGAAUUUAAUGUGCUAAUCUGCAUAAAGCACAUAGACAACUGUCUGGCUCAUGAUGGGAGUGUAACUGUGGUUAUUUCUUCCUAUUUUCUUCCCUCCCUUCCAACAGAAGAAAGUCUCUGAGAUGCGUGUCUUAUGUGGCAUAUGCUGGACUUGGUGCCUGGGGUUCAUUGGCAGACUAGUCCCUCUGGUACCUCCAGCAAGGAAGAUAGAUGUUAAUUAUUAAUUGAUACCCAUUGUGAUAAAUCUCACAAGGUACCAUGAAUGGGUAUAACAGCUCCCUUUCUGUGGAGGAGGUGGAGGUGAUAGGUAAGACUUCCUGGAGGAAGUAACAUUUGAACAGAGAUCUGAAAGAUAAAAUACUUCCAGGAGGAGUGUGUGUGUGUGUAAGUCAGUCAACAUCAGAACACCUCCAGCAGUGGAAACAGUGUAUAGGAAGCUCUGAAGUAGGAAGGAUCCUCUGUUAAUGGUUUUUUUGUUGUUGUUUUCCCUCUUCGAGACAGAGUCUCAGUCUGUUGCCCAGGCUGGAAUGCAGUGGCACAGUCUCAGCUCACUGCAACCUCUGCCUCCCAGGUUCAAGCGAUUCUCGUACUUCAGCCUCCUGAGUAGCUGGGAUUACAGGUAUGCACCACCAUGCCCCAAUCAUUUUGUAUUCUUAAUAGAGAUAGGGUUUCUCAAACUCCUGGCCUCAAGUGAUCCGCCUGCCUCAGCCUCCCAAAGUGCUGGGAUUACAAGUGUGAGCCACCAUGCCUGACCCAUUAAUGUUUUGAAUAGGUAAUACUUUCGCAUGGUCCAAAUUCCAAAAAAUACAAAAGGAUAAACAGUGAAAUGUCUCCCUUUUUCCAUUUACCACCUUCCCCCUACCUCUAUCCCUGAAGCAACAAAUGAACCAAUUUCUUUGGUAUUCUUCUAGAAAUAUCCUGUGCAUACAUAAGCAAAAUGUAUGUGUGUAUGGUGUAUAUACAUAUAUACACACACUAUAUAUAGUGUGUAUAUGUGUAUAUAUAUACUAUAUAUAGUGUGUAUAUAUAUACACUAUAGUGUGUAUAUGUAUAUAUACUAUAUAUAGUGUGUAUAUGUGUAUAUAUAUACUACAUAUAGUGUGUAUAUGUAUAUGUGUAUAUAUACACAUAUAUAUACUAUAUAUAGUGUGUAUAUGUAUAUGUGUAUAUAUAGUGUGUAUAGUUUAUGUAUAUACAUAUCCACACUAUAUAUAGUAUAUAUAUGAUAUUCACAUAUCAUCUUUUAUUUUUUAAUAUGAAAAAUGCUUCUCCGUUAUUUGCUUUUUUCACCUUUCUCUUAAAUACGUAUCUUGGAGAUCCUUCCUUAUGAGUACACAGUUAACUUUCUUAUUUUCUUUUCUGAGUGGCAGAGUACACCAUGUAGUACCCUAUAAUUUGUUUAAGCAACCUCCUACUGAUGGAUGUUUGGGUUAUUUCUACUCUUCUGCUAUUAUUUAAAAAAACUAUAAUCGAUAAUCUGAUACCGGUGCAAUUUGCUCCUGUGCAACUGUCUGUGGGAUAAAUUUCUAAAAGUGUAAUAGUUGGGUCAAAUGACACACUUUUCUCCACAGAGGUUGUAAAAAAUUUACACCCACCCCUCAAGGAAUGUUUGAGUUCCCAUAGUGGCAUCAAGCACCAUGUAUUAUUGAGUUCUUUUUAAUUUUGCCAAUCUGAUAGGUGAAAAUUCAUAUCUCAGCAUAGUUUUAAUUUGCAUUUAUCUUACUCUGAAUAACACAGAGCGUGUUUUCAUUUGCCCAAGAAUCACUUGUGUUUCUUUUCUUACGAACUGUUCUUAUCUUUUGUCCAUUUUUCUGUGAUGAAUCUGCUCUUUUGCUUAUUGAUUUUAUACAUUAGGGGAAUUAGCCAUUUUCCACGCCAUGCUUCA